rnacentral:lncRNA from 1 species
UCUGGGUGUGUUGGAGUUCGACGACCAGAAGGGAAAAAAGGGGGUAAACCCUAGUUGAUCAAAAAUCCAGCAAUUAAUAAGGGAUUUCAAGGUUUAGUUGAUGCAUGAAGCUCAAUUCUCGACCAUCUAACCUUUCUUAACAAACGGUAAGUCGAAUUUGAGAUUUGGUGAUUAUGAAGAAAGGAUAAAGGAGGAGAGUUCGAGUCGCACAAAGCAAGAAGGAAAUCA